UUUCUGAAAACACUCCGCUUCUGAAAAUAAAGAUAAAGCGAGAUGCAUUUUGAUUGAACGGGAUGAUUCGAGCCGAAUUCGAGUAUAAGCCACGUUACAGGUGGAGUCUUCCAUAUAUUGAGCUUGCUUGUAUAUGAAAGGAAUGUGAAUGCAAGUUGAUCACAGCACCAUAAAGUAAACGGUUGGCAUGUGUCGGUCAUGUUUGAAACACCGAGUUAUUGUCUUCAUCCAAUAUAUCAAAAUUUAGAAAGAAGAAAGGAGGAAGAUUUGGCGGCAAUUAUAUCCAUCAUGCUGACCCUGCUAGUUUUGUUGAAUGAUAUAUGCAUUGCAGAAGAGUGGACAUAAUUGUGAAUUUUAUGUUACCAUUUCCAAGGUCCAUAUGCAGCAUUAGAUUGGUUUGGAGGACAAGUUUGAUGAUUGGUUUUCCACUUGAGAAAAGCAGUUUGAUGUGAAGUGAAAUCUUGGGACUUGUACAGAGUUAAGGGACAAGAACUCUUGUAUUGGUCAUUAUACCAGAAGCUUGAAUGUGGGUGAUUCCCUAGUGUAAUGUUUCUCCAUUGAGUUAUGACAUAUGGGUGCUUGUGUAGAGAUGGGGGUUACAGGGCAUGUAAGCCACAUUUACUGCUUUAAUUUUGAAACUUCUGUACUUCUCAUAUUCAACAUUCUUUCACUUCACGCUGUAUCUUCUAGAAAUUAUGAAUGUGUUGCAGCUGCUAUACUACUUGUAGACAUA